UCAAAUGUGCUUCUAAAGACAACGUUGCAGUAAAGGAUUGACUAUAAAAACUUUCUUGCUGACAGAUCUUUGCGAAGGGUUCUCUCUUUGCUUGAUGAUUACGCUGUAAGAGAAUAACAUUGCACAUGCAGAUCUAUACCCACGUGCCCAUACUAUAAUCAAUCAAAAGUGGCAUCGUUAAGCUCAGAUCUCAGUGGAGCACUGCGGAUUGUGGGAUAUACCGUGUGGGCACGUAGAGCGUGUUGUGCCAAAGGUGCAGACACCAGCACACCCGCUAGGAAUAAAGGAGCCUGAGAAGAGUAAUAACCCCGUGUCAGAUCUCGUUCAGGGACUGCGCCUAUGUCAUCUAAAAUUUCUAGAAUUGGGAGUUUCUUCUCUCGUCUCCGAUUGCCAUCUUCCCUCCCAGGAACUCAACACUGCUCUGUCUUGGGUUUCACACUCCAAGUUUGUGUCUACUUGGUGAAUUAGUGAUGAUGUUGUUUUUCAUGGAUUGGACACUGGAGGGUGCUAAUGCAAUGGGAGCUGAAAUUGUUCUGGCAAAUUAAAGGGUUCCCCUUUGUUAGUUGUGAAAUAGUUUUAUUCUUUGUUGCAACCUUUAAAUGGAAAGACAUGAAUCGUGGUCCUUAGCAGUAGCUGAUACUGCUCGGCAUGUGUAGAGCUGUAACCAAGAAUAUCAAUAAAGUGUUAAGUCUGUGA